CCUACGGGUGGCAGCAGUGGGGAAUAUUGGGCAAUGGGCGCAAGCCUGACCCAGCAACGCCGCGUGAAGGAAGAAGGCUUUCGGGUUGUAAACUUCUUUUCUCAGGGACGAAGAAAGCGACGGUACCGGAUGAAUAAGCCACGGCUAACUAUGUGCCAGCAGCCGCGGUAAUACGUAGGUGGCAAGCGUUAUCCGGAUUUAUUGGGUGUAAAGGGCGUGUAGGCGGGGGCGCAAGUCAGUUGUGAAAACUCAGGGCUCAACCCUGAGACUGCAUUUGAAACUGUGUUUCUUGAGUGCUGGGGAGGCAAUCGGAAUUCCGGGUGUAGCGGUGAAAUGCGUAGAUAUACGGAGGAACACCAGUGGCGAAGGCGGAUUGCUGGACAGUAACUGACGCUGAGGCGCGAAAGCGUGGGGAGCAAACAGGAUUAGAUACCCUUGUAGUC
rnacentral:rRNA from 1 species